UCGGGAAUUUUGGGCAAUGGGCGAAAGCCUGACCCAGCAACGCCGCGUGAAGGAUGAAGUAUUUCGGUAUGUAAACUUCGUAAGAAUAGGAAGAAUAAAUGACGGUACUAUUUGUAAGGUCCGGCUAACUACGUGCCAGCAGCCGCGGUAAUACGUAGGGACCAAGCGUUGUUCGGAUUUACUGGGCGUAAAGGGCGCGUAGGCGGCGUGGUAAGUCAUCUGUGAAAUCUCCGAGCUUAACUCGGAACGGUCAGAUGAUACUGCUGUGCUAGAGUACAGAAAGGGCAAUCGGAAUUCUUGGUGUAGCGGUGAAAUGCGUAGAUAUCAAGAGGAACACCUGAGGCGAAGGCGGGUUGCUAGGCUGAUACUGACGCUGAGGCGCGAAAGCUAGGGUAGCAAACGGGAUUAGAUACCCGUGUAGUCCCUGAGCGGGCUGGCAAGGCGCAU
rnacentral:rRNA from 1 species